ACGUGUGUUACAAAGUGACGCACAUUUGUCACGGAAGUGAAGGCUGGGCUAGAAUAGAGCUGUUUGGAGCAGUUUGUGAACAGUGUUUUCUGUUAGAGUCCCUUUGGACUUUCUCACUUUGUAAACCUAUAACGUGCACAAAAAGGUACUUAACACAAUAAAGGAACGGGAAGAAGCCAAAAAGCAUAAUAUGAGCACAUUAAAGUGUACUCAGUUCUGCUGCUUUCAGUAUUCUGCUGAAACCCAACAACUUGCUUGUUAAAUUUAACACUAACAAAGGGAAAUUACUUCUAAUAUUUUAUUAAACAAGAUUUAAACGUUGAAUUGAGUAUAAAAGGCACCAGUAAAAAAAAGAUUUUAAAAACAGUUACAUUCUAAA